rnacentral:rRNA from 1 species
CGGGUGCACUGAUCCAGCCGGGCCUUUCCCUCUGUGGAACCCCAUGGCCUUCACUGGCUGUGGUGGGGAAACAGGACUUUUACUUUGAAAAAAUUAGAGUGCUCCAGGCAGGCCUAUGCUCGAAUACAUUAGCAUGGAAUAAUAGAAUAGGACGUGUGGUUCUAUUUUGUUGGUUUCUAGGACCGCCGUAAUGAUUAAUAGGGACAGUCGGGGGCAUCAGUAUUCAAUUGUCAGAGGUGAAAUUCUUGGAUCUAUUGAAGACUAACUACUGCGAAAGCAUUUGCCAAGGAUGUUUUCAUUGAUAAGGAACGAAAGUUAGGGGAUCGAAGACGAUCAGAUACCGUCGUAGUCUUAACUAUAAACUAUGCCGACUAGGGAUCGGACGAUGUUAUUCUUUGACGCGUUCGGCACCUUUCGAGAAAUCAAAGUGCUUGGGCUCCAGGGGGAGUAUGGUCGCAAGGCUGAAACUUAAAGAAAUUGACGGAAGGGCACCACCAGGGGUGGAACCUGCGGCUUAAUUUGACUCAACACGGGGAAACUCACCAGGUCCAGACACAGUGAGGAUUGACAGAUUGAGAGCUCUUUCUUGAUUCUGUGGGUGGUGGUGCAUGGCCGUUCUUAGUUGGUGGAGUGAUUUGCCUGCUUAAUUGCGAUAACGAACGAGACCUUAACCUGCUAAAUAGCCCGUACUGCUUUGGCAGUUCGCCGGCUUCUUAGAGGGACUAUCGG